rnacentral:lncRNA from 1 species
UGCAAAUUGCAGCAUCAUCUAUUACUGAGCACUUCAUAUCAUAUGUGUUUGUUAGGUGACGCAGGAGAGGGCGGUGCUCGAUCGGCUGGAUUGUUAAGGAAAGGAGUUAGUUUAGCGCGUAAACGAUGGCAAGGACAAUGACGCAUCAAAGAAAAUGCCAAGAACAAACAAAGAAUGUGCAGGCAAGCGACAGACUUACAUACGCAGCGGCCAAACAAAUAUUUCUUCUGCCUUGCAGCCGGACCGAUCGACGAAGACUCCGUCAAAUCCUGGCGAGAUUUCCAGCGAGAAAACCCGAUUCGCUACGAACCUGUGAAGCCAGAGAAGAGAAUGCGGCCCGCCGGAUGGAACGCCGCUCACCAAUGAUUCGUGAUCGGAGAAAGAAAUGGAUGCCUGAAUCAUGAGCGGCCAUAAAUUUCCAAGCUUAAUGUCCAUUACGAUCCGGCGCAGCUCUUACCUAACAGAGAGGAGAAAGCGAGCGAGAAAUCGAGCCGAUCGCUCGCAGCAACGCGAUUCCGGGAUUAGGGCUCCUCAAAAACCACUGACUAUCC